AUUGAACGCUGGCGGCAGGCCUAACACAUGCAAGUCGAGCGGAGCGGCGGACGGGUGAGUAAUGCCUAGGAAUCUGCCUGGUAGUGGGGGAAAAGGUCGGGAACGGGGGGCUAAAACGGCUACCUUUAGAUUGGGCCAGGGCGGGUUAGCUAGUUGGUGGGGUAAAGGCCUACCAAGGCGACGAGCCGUAACUGGUCUGAGAGGAUGAUCAGUCACACUGGAACUGAGACACGGUCCAGACUCCUACGGGAGGCAGCAGUGGGGAAUAUUGGACAAUGGGCGAAAGCCUGAUCCAGCCAUGCCGCGUGUGUGAAGAAGGUCUUCGGAUUGUAAAGCACUUUAAGUUGGGAGGCGUUACCAACAGAAUAAGCACCGGCUAACUUCGUGCCAGCAGCCGCGGUAAUUC
rnacentral:rRNA from 1 species